rnacentral:rRNA from 1 species
AACGAACGCUGGCGGCAUGCCUAACACAUGCAAGUCGAACGCGUGUAGCAAUACACGAGUGGCGGACGGGUGAGUAACACGUGGGUGACCUGCCCUCAGCUCUGGGAUAAGCCCUGGGGAAACCGGGUCGUAAUACUGGAUAUGACUCCAUGACGCAUGUUGUGGGGUGGAAAGCCUUGUGCGGCUGAGGAUGGGCCCGCGGCCUAUCAGCUUGUUGGNGGGGUGAUGGCCUACCAAGGCGAUGACGGGUAGCUGGUCUGAGAGGAUGAUCAGCCACACUGGAACUGAGACACGGUCCAGACUCCUACGGGAGGCAGCAGUGGGAAUUUUGGACAAUGGGCGAAAGCCUGAUCCAGCGACGCCGCGUGUGCGAUGAAGG